AGCAGCCGCGGUAAUUCCAGCUCCAAUAGCGUAUAUUAAAGUUGUUGCAGUUAAAAAGCUCGUAGUUGAACCUUAGGCCCGUGCGGGUGGUCCGUCCUCUGGGCGAGCACUGCCUCGUCGCGGGUCUCACCUUCUGGCGAGCGUGGAUGCCAUUCACUUGGUGUCGGCGGGAACCAGGACCUUUACCUUGAAAAAUUAGAGUGCUCAAAGCGGGCUCGUACGCUUGAAUACAUUAGCAUGGAAUAAUGAAAUAGGACGACGGUUCUAUUUUGUUGGUUUCCGGGACAGUCGUAAUGAUUAAUAGGGAUAGUUGGGGGCAUUCGUAUUCAAUUGUCAGAGGUGAAAUUCUUGGAUUUAUUGAAGACGAACUACUGCGAAAGCAUUUGCCAAGGAUGUUUUCAUUAAUCAAGAACGAAAGUUGGGGGAUCGAAGACGAU
rnacentral:sRNA from 1 species